AAGUCGUAACAAGGUCUCCGUAGGUGAACCUGCGGAGGGAUCAUUACACAAUACAAUAUGAAGGCCCGUAACACGGCUGGAUUAUUUUAUUACCCUUGUCUUUUGCGCACUUGUUGUUUCCUGGGCGGGUUUCGCCCGCCACCAGGACCACACCAUAAACCUUUUUUAUGCAGUUGCAAUCAGCGUCAGUACAACAAAUGUAAAUCAUUUACAACUUUCAACAACGGAUCUCUUGGUUCUG
rnacentral:misc_RNA from 1 species